UACGUAGGAGGCAAGCGUUGUCCGGAAUUACUGGGCGUAAAGCGCGUGUAGGUGGUGGGACAAGUCUGCUGUGAAAGCGCCUGGCUUAACCGGGCGAGGUCGGCGGAAACUGUCGCACUCGAGGACGGUAGAGGGGGGUGGAAUUCCCGGUGUAGUGGUGAAAUGCGUAGAGAUCGGGAGGAACACCUGUGGCGAAGGCGGCCCCCUGGGCCGGCCCUGACACUGAGGCGCGAAAGCUAGGGGAGCAAACGGG
rnacentral:rRNA from 1 species